GCCGGGAGCCAUGGGGGCACCUGAAGGCACUGUUUAAGGAGGUGUGGGUGAACAAGGACAGUGCAAUGUACAAAUGCUCGUGGCCAUACCAGGCAGAGGACAUCUUUUUGUCCCCAGCUGGCUGCAUGGAGACCUCCCAGGGUGUCAUUCUCUCUGAGCUGUCAGGCCAUUAAGGAGGUACACUUCAAGAUCAGAAAGGGCCAAAUAAACUCUCAACCCAAGCCAGAUUCUGUCCCUGAAGAUGCAGUAAGGGGGUCUCGGUACCCACAGAACAUCCCACCACAGAAAGCCAGGCUCCAGCCUGAAAGUCCAUCUUCCCUGCUCUAGCCCACCCGUGCGAUGAAGAGCACAGAAGAGGCGGGUGAAGGCAUUGCAUCUUCAGCAUCGGCUUGGAGAAUGACACCCUGCAGGUUCCACUUCUUCCCAGGCCACCUGCUUGCUUCUGGAAAGCAGGGAACAGGCAAUCCGGGGAGAGAGGAGCCAGCCACACAAGGACUGGGAAGCCCAGACCUGUGCCAUCAGCCUGCGAUGACUUAGGCUGGGGAUCCGAAAAGGUUUCUAUGAACAGCCAGCUGGCCAUCAGCCCAGCAGUGGGUCUAGUUUGCCAACCGCUGGAAAAAGCCAACAACAUUUUGGGAGGCCGACUGCCGGCUACAGGACCUCGCCAUACCAACAAGGGCUGAGACCCGCGGCUCUGCAGGGCUCUAACAACAGCGUUUGACCUGAGUCUAUCUGGGGAAACAUCACGUGAACCCACGUUGAGGCCCUACUCUGGAAGCUGCAAAAUUAGAGAUGAUGGCUGUGCGGCUCUGUGAAUGUACUCAAACCGCUGAACUGUGCACUUUAGAGGAGUGACCUCAUGGUAUGUGAAUUACAUCUCAAUAAAGCAGCUCAAAAGCAGGC
rnacentral:lncRNA from 1 species